CGUGGCGGGGGUCUCCCCUGGGGCUCAGGCGGGCGGAAGAAGUCCUGGCCCCCCAAGGGCCGCGACUUGGUUGACGAGGUCCGCGUGGGAGCGUGGACGUGCCAAGCAGAUUGGCGGGACCGGAGAGCUCACUCCUUCAGCCCCUAGGGAGAGGAGGCGAAAUGGAUUUGCCAGCCUGACGUUCCUUCACAGGGCCCGCUCGCUAGUCGGUGGUCUGAUAGAGGCUGGGCUUCGCCUGGAAUUCCUAAGGGCUUGGGUCCCGCGGGGGAGGCAGAAGAGGGAGGUGCGCCAGGAGCCUGCUGGAUUUUCCCGGAGGAAUUUCUAUCUCCCUCUCUCUGCCACAGGUCUCAAGAGAAAGCCAGUCCCUGUUGAACUGUGGUCACCGCUUAGCUGCCCCCUGCCACCAGCCCACAAGUGGCUGCUGAGCAUCCUUGGGGAGGGGAGGCAGCCGGACAGAUGGGAUGCUACUGGGGUCUUGGAGUUUCCGCUCAUCCACUGCCUGCGGUGUCCUGGGUGCUGCUGGCGGGGCCUCUGGAGCCUCCACUCCUGGAGUUCUCGUGUUGCUUUGAAUUGGGUCCCCCUUUCAGCAGUGAUUGCUGCUGACCCUCAGCCCCAGCGCUGCGUGUUCGUCCAAAGGCUUCCCCUUCUCUGUGCCUCACAGUGGCCAUCAGGAGGCUUCAUCGUGUAUGGGGGGGGGGGAUGUGUCCCGCACUCUUCAUUUCACAGGACUUCAUUUCUCUGGGCUGCAGGCCUGUGGUGGGGCAUGGAGGAAGCUGCCAUCAUGUG